rnacentral:lncRNA from 1 species
GCUUAGAAGUUGAGUCUAAUUUGGUAUUUUUCCUAUUAGAUAAUUCUAUCCAGUGAUAGUUCAUUUUGUUUUAAUCACUCAUAUGCAAUGAUGUGCUGGUAAAUAUUUCUUGGAAAAAGAAGCCCUGAUCUGUAGAGUUUGCUGAUUUCUGUGGUUUAAAUGCUUCUGCUAAAGCAUAUUCCAAGCUCCCAGAAUGCUACCUUUGAAUGCAGUGUUGUGAAGGUGUACUAAUAAAGUUGGUACUAGCUGGCUUCAGGCACACCAGUGUAAGCUUAAAGAAACACCUCUAUAUUUAAUGAUAGUUUACUAUAGGUUAAAUCCUAUCCUUUUAACUAUAAUGAUAAAUCUGCUAGUAUAACCCAGAAAUCCUGUAAUAAAAUUUCUCCAAUGAAGUGUUCAAUAAUUCUACAACUGUUAAUGUUUUGGUAUGAAUAUAAGUAAAAGAGAACAGAUAUUAUUUCUUCCUUUUUUUUUUGAAAGUUACUUUUUUCUUAUUCAAAAGCAAAAAUCAGAGAAACAAAAUUUGGCUAUCAAUCUAAGCUGUCUUCCUCAAUCAUCUGAAUUGGUCUAAAAUUCUUUGUUAAAAUUUCUUCAGAAUCUAUUAUGGAUGUUAAUAAUCAAAUCAACAUUCAGACUGGCUAAAUGAGUACAGUUAAACUACCAGAAAUGCUUGGCUUGGAGAGUAAUGAAAUAGAAGAACAGAGUUAGAAAUGAGUGGAAAAGAGGCAUAUAUAUAUGGGUAGAUAAGUAGACUGGCUGAAUAGAUAGAUGGGAUGAGAGUGUAGAAUGGGAUAGAAGGAAGGAUGCUUAGAGAAUGAAAUAAGGGCAUUUCUGACUAGAAAGAAUGAACAAUAAACAUUGCAGAUUUAUAUGAAGGAUUUUAUAUAAUUCUAUCCCAAUAUUGAAGAAAGUCAAUAAAAAAGGAGAUUAACACCAAAUAUAAAGUCUCCUGUGAUCAACUUUAAAUACAGAUCCUACAAUAGUGUCCUGCCAUUGCUUCACUGAGAUGUUAUUUAAUUUUGUUUACUUGGCUGAGCAUUUGUUUACUUUCUUGGUUACUGAAUAAGUAUUUAGAAUCCAGUCCCUUUAUCUAGAAAUGGUUUGGAGUGAAUUGAAAUAUAGCUGUUAGGAGAAUUACUUCUUUCUUAGCAUUAUUUACAGACCAAAUAAGUUUAAUAAACAGUUUAAUUCAAACCUACUGCUGUUCCUCACUGGUCCCUCAUACUCCCAAUCUAAAAGCAUUUUUAGUCAGCUUUUUUAUCAUUGUGACCAGAAUACCUGACAAGAGCAACUUAGAGGAGGAAAAGUUUAUUUUAGUAUUUUAUUUUCUUGUUUGAAGCAAAGGGUGGUCUCAAAGGGGAGGUAUAGCCACCCUGGCCCUUGUUAACUCUUUUUCUGAAAUAUAUCUAUAAAACCAGACAUUAAGCAAAAUGAGGGAAUAAUACCUUGUCAUUAUAUAAUUUCUAGACUAUUUGGAUUUGAAGCAUUAAUGACAGAAGUCCUCCUAGGUUCCUUAAUUUAUGGUAAAGUAAGGUUAGAUAAGGUCUUUUCUCUCAAAAGAAUUAUUUUGGUCUUGGUUAUAUGAAAAUUGGCAAAUUAAAGUCAUGGUUUCUAGAAUCUCUUAGUAGAUACCAUUAUUAUGUAUAGUAUUUGUAAAUAGGUACUUUCAACUGUAGAAAUAUAUAUAUUUUUUUCUAUUUGGGUUUAUGUUCUCUUGGUUUAGACAGGAACCAUAUAGGAAAAAUGUGAAUUUGUUAUCUUGCAUUCACAGCCUGGGACAAUCAAGCACACUACUCUUUGAGAUUUAC